rnacentral:lncRNA from 1 species
UUUUUCUUUUAAUCCAUUUAUUUUAUUUUAUUCAUAGAAAUUUCAUUUUUGGUCCAAAAAAUAUGGGACUUUCACCAAAAAUCUUUAAAUAUUUUCCUCUUCCAUAUUUUGAAUUAAAAUCAUUUUUUGGAUUAAUUUUGAUAUUUUUUGUGAAUUAAUUGAUUUUAGACUUGUUUUUAAAUAUUUUAAAAUACUUUCGACUUUCCAAAAAUUAUGAAUUUUUUUGUCUAAGGUUCU